UUGCCCGGAGUGGAAAGUGGCGAAUUGGUGAGUAACGCGUAGGCAACCUACCCCUGAGCGGGGGAUAACCACCGGAAACGGUGGCUAAUACCGCAUGACGUCCCGGCCGGGCAUCCGGCGGGGAUCAAAGUUCAGGCGCUCAGGGAUGGGCCUGCGUCGGAUUAGCUGGUAGGUGGGGUAACGGCCCACCUAGGCGACGAUCCGUAGCGGGUCUGAGAGGAUGAUCCGCCACACUGGCACUGAGACACGGGCCAGACUCCUACGGGAGGCAGCAGUGAGGAAUCUUGCGCAAUGGAGGAAACUCUGACGCAGCCACGCCGCGUGCAGGAAGACACCCCUCAGGGGCGUAAACUGCUUUUAUACGGGAAGAACUCCCUGCUCUGCAGGGGCUGACGGUACCGUACGAAUAAGGACCGGCUAACUCCGUGCCAGCAGCCGCGGUAAUACGGAGGGUCCAAGCGUUGUCCGGAAUCACUGGGUGUAAAGGGUGUGUAGGCGGACUUGUAAGUCAGGGGUGAAAGCCACCGGCCCAACCGGUGAAUUGCCCUUGAUACUGCAAGUCUUGAGUCCCGGAGGGGUCACUGGAAUUCGUGGUGUAGCGGUGAAAUGCGUAGAUAUCACGAGGAACACCUGAGGAGAAGUCGGGUGACUGGACGGGUACUGACGCUG
rnacentral:rRNA from 1 species